CUGUUUGUUUGUAUAUGUGUCUUUUUGGCUGCUGUUACAACCAAAUUUCCCCUUGUGGGACAAUUAAAGGAUUAUUCUAUUCUAUUGUGUCACCCACAGUGCAGUAGAACUUGUGAGUGGGAUUCUUUCACAGACAGAUGCUGAAACCAAAUAUGCUUAUAGGUUUAGUGUUCCUUCUUAGCCAUUGUAAGGGAAGAAAUAAUUGCUUCUUAAUACAAAAACACAACAUAUUAUUAAUAACUUAAAAUUCUUAAUGUUAGUCAUAAAGUCAUGUCAGUCAUAAAAACCCUGCAAGAUGUGGGCCGCAUGAAAAACAGGUUUGCUGACACCUUGUCUCAAGUUUCAGACUCUGCUUCAAGACUGAUGGAAAGUGGUUGGGCUCUUAAAAUUACAGUCAAGAACAGCCAUGGAGUUAAUGCAUAUCAAGUCCCAUCUGAGUCAAGAGAAGACAUAGUGUAUGAUGUCUGCCCUGUUGAGUCCUACUGCAACUGUACAUAUGGCUUACGAGGACUUCUUUGCAAGCAUCUAGUGUUACUUGCAAAAUUAGCAGAGGUUGACAGUGACAUCUAUCCAAACAUGGAAACAGACAUUUCUACCUUGGCAAGAAUUGCAGUGAAAGAAAGGCAUUACUUUGUACACUGUGAGGACUUGAAAGUGAUAAAAAUGCCAAGUUUGUUUGGAAAUCUGUGUUUUUUUGCAUCGGCUGAAACACUUCAGUGCACUUGUUGUACGUUCUCUCACUAUAACACAUGUGCUUACCUGAAGGUGGCUUGUAGCCAUUUUAAACAAAUGAAAAACUCUCUGAAAAGUCCUUUAUCAACUUUGAAUGACACUCCUGUAGUUGAAAGCACAGACAAAAAAUGCACAGAAGAUGCGGUUGGAAAACUAAAUGCUGUUUUAGACACAUUUAAACAGUGGGCAUUCAUUCCAGAGGGCAUUACUGCAAUGAUAGAUGAACUGCAUACAAAUGUCUUAAAAACAAAACAAGAAGUAGGCAAAGGUAUAUGUCAGUACGAAAUAAAGACGACAGAUAAUGCACGCAAAAUUAGGCCAUUGCAUUCUAGCAAGAAACGUUUGGCCAGCAUCGACAUUCCAACAGUCUGUGAAAAUGAAUGUGAACAAUCGAUAACCACUGAAAGGGAGACAUCCUCUGGAGAAAAUGAAAACCUUUUGGAAUACAAAACAAAAAAGAGUUAAAGCUAACUAUAUGCACAAGUAGACUUUUGUGUAGACAUUUCAAAGGGACUGCAUCCAUUACUUCUGUUUAUUGGAACCUAAAGCAGAAUAGUUGUCUUAACUUUCUGCCAAGGAACAGAUGAAAAUAAAUUGUUUGGUCUCUCUCAAGCAGUUGUUAUUUAUGUGUGUUAUUCAUUACUUUGGCUUGGUUGCUGUUUUUGAUACAAAUUCAUCUGUGCCCAUUGUAAUAUUUUCAUAUGUUACUAUUUUUAUAUUGCUAUUGUGAAGUAGUUUGUUUCUGUGCCACCAUACCCAAAUCUGUCAAAUACUUGUGCUGAUGCUCACUCCAUACUUGACAGAUAAAGAGAAUAUCUGUUUCACUUGUCUGUGAGAAGCCUUUGCAGGAAUGCAGCACAUUCAUGUUGUUUGCUGUUUUCCAUUUUGUUAUUCUGCAAACGCACACACACCACAGAAAAAAAAAAAAAAACUAAAUAGAGCUUUAUCUUUAUCUGUACCAACAUUGCACAAUCCCAUUAAAGACCACCUCCUCUCUUAUGUAACUUCCCCGCUGCAGUCAUUCCCCCUUCCUUAUAAGAGUCCAGCUGUUGUGGUCUUGCUGUAGUAUACAGCUGCCUGUCAUUUGACUUGUCGUCAUGUUCCUUCAUUGUUGUCUGGCUUUGCUGGCUCUCUCCUCGCUCUCUGGUGCAUCUGAUCCAGGCUGUGAAGAACUCAUUAAGCCUCUGGAGGGUCGUAGCAAGGGAUGGCAAAUGUUAUCAUGGAAAUGUCACUGCCACCUUCUUAGGAAACUCUUCCACAGACACGUAUUACUAUAACUCCUCCAGUCAUGAGCAUAUUGGCAAGCAUCUGGCCACUUGCCCCGACUGCAUGCUUUGG